rnacentral:rRNA from 1 species
UGUCUUACGUAUGUACUUGUUAAGCCUUUAAGAGAAAAGUUUACAACUUAAGGAAUUAUAACAAAGAAGUAACACAUAAUAAGUUUACCUUAUUUAGUGUGUAUCAAUCGAGUUUCUGACCUAUCAGCUUUUGAUGUUAGGGUAUUGGCCUAACAUGGCUAUGACGGGUAACGGGGAAUUAGAGUUCGAUUCCGGAGAGGGAGCCUGAGAAAUAGCUACCACAUCUAAGGAAGGCAGCAGGCGCGUAAAUUACCCAAUUCUAAAGAAGAGAGGUAGUGACAAGAAAUAACAAUACAAGGCCAUUUCAUGGUUUUGUAAUUGGAAUGAUGGGAAUUUAAAACCUUCCCAAAAUUCAAUUGGAGGGCAAGUCUGGUGCCAGCAGCCGCGGUAAUUCCAGCUCCAAUAGCGUAUAUUAAAAUUGUUGCAGUUAAAACGCUCGUAGUUGAAUUUCAAAGAAUCAAUAUUUUAAGUAAUGCUUUUGGUUUAAGAUGCUUAGACAAUACAACGUAUCUGCUCUUUGCAUUCCUUAUCCAAAAKGUGUUCUUAUUAUAAAAAGGAUUCUUUUUAAAAUCUCCUUUACUUUCUUGUACUGGAGAUUUUGUUACUUUGAGUAAAUUAGAGUGUUCAAAGCAAACAGUUAAAGCAUUUUACUGCGUUUGAAUACUACAGCAUGGAAUAACAAAAUUGAACAAGUCAAAAUUCUGUUCCUUUUUCUUAUUUUGGCU